GGAGAUCUGAUCCAAUCGCGCUGGGGGUCAAAAACAUCCCUCACGGUCCACUGCUGCGUCGAUCAACCCCACUCCCACAUCACCUUCCCCAAAUCGAAUCUCACCCCAAAUUACGAUUGCGAGCAAAACCCUAGCUAGCGUGCCGGCUGAAUCCACUGAAAAGAUGGCGGCGCCGGCCGCCAGCGACGCGGCGAGCUGCUGCAGUCUAUACAGAUGCAUCUGCUGCUGGCGUCGUGCCUGCUCACCCCGUAUCCCGCGUGUCGCCCCCGGCAGAGACUACUUCUGCAUGCCGGCUGGCGCCGAUGACCAACCUGCGUGGUCGCUGGUCGUCGGCUGCCGCUCCCUCUCCCUCUCCUUCUCCGACAGCGCCCUACGCUUGCACCGCUUCCGCGUAACGCGAUGCGGUCGAGUCCUCGGCGGGAGCAACGACGCCCUCGAGGUCUUGCAGGACGUCCGAGCUGAGGAUAAAAAGGCGCCGGCGGAGAAGUGGUGCCUCUGGACUGCUAGCGCCACGCAGUGCCCCGACGGCCACUCACUUUGCAUCUUCUGCGAGGAUUUCGAUCCAGUGAAUAUCCGAUACUCCGCGCCCCCACAAGUCCUGCGGCUGGAUGUCAACGCUGAAGACAAGCUGCGGAAAUUGUCCCCCAUGCCUCGUCCUCCUCUAGAGCCUCACUGGCGGUUCCUCCCCAUCUCAGCUGCUGGCCAGAUCUGGGCUGCAUACGUUGUUGAACACCAGGCUUAUGAAACAUUCAGCGUCGGGAUGCAGCUCCUGGACGAGGAUGGCCAGUGGGAGUUGGCCGGCGGCACCUUGACUAUUUCUUCCAAGGUGGUAGUGCCAGAGUGGUGGGGUGGUCGCUUUCUCCAGGGAUACGUUGUGCUAUCUGACAGGGCAAUCUUGCUGUCGUUCCGGCAAGCUGAAUUCUUCAUCUUCAGUUGCCAUAGCCUUGCCUGGACCCAGGUCAUCACCCAGCAUAUAAACACCUACAUCCCUAUCCGGGGCCAUGGUGUAUACAUCAAAGAAGAUAACACCGUUUACAUGCUUUAUAACAACGACAUAUAUGCGUACGAGCUCCGCAAACCAGGUCAGAAGGAGUUUCGGCGGCUCAGCUAUCAAGAUGGGCAGCUGCUUGAGCUGCAGCCGCCUGUCAAGGUUGAUUCUGUCUGUCCUUUCUCUGGUUAUGGCUUCCUCACGCAGCUUGACCGCCGGCUCUUGUGCUCUGUCUGGAUUGGUCGUGGUGGGGAUAACUGCUCAUGCAACUGCCCACACGUCCUCAUCAGCACCUUCCUAGUGAAUCCCAAAGGCAUCGAGAUCUUGCAUUCAACCUGCCGCCGGUUAGACAUGCUGCCAAACAAUUUUGAUUUGGCACACAGCUAUGAAUAUUGCUUUCUACAGGCGUGUGAGGAGGACUACAACCAAGGGAAACAGGCAAUGCUGCCUGUGGAAGAUCCAAUCAGGUCCCACAUUGUGGAAUCUUCCGAGACAAUGCUCGCUUGUUGCAGGAAAUUUUUAUUUGGAACGCAGUUUCCGGGAUGUGUUGUGCUUGAGGAACCUGCUAUCCGAAUCAACAAAGAUCUCUACAUCGUUUGCCAAGUUGGUUCUCAUUCAGUUGUCUAUAAGACUGAAAUUGUGAAUGGAAGGUUAAAACAAGGUUGUCAUGACAACCCUCUGGGACAGGCUUUCACUACUGAAACAUUUCCACGUACUGGUGGCACUACUGAGACAGUUAUACCUGCUGGUGAUGAUUGUCAUGUGUUGGACCGACUGUCAGAACAGCAUUCCCAUUGGCACGUUCUUUGUAGCAGCUCAUUCAUACAUGCUAUCUCAUGCACACAAGAUGACAUCCAUGUGUUUAAUCUGAGUUAUAAAGCUCAUGGGCACAGUACAAUUACAAGGCCAGCUACUGAUCCUUUCGUUAUGGUUGUUCAAGUUGGUCAUGAGACUAUUGCUCUUACUGCUAAUCUCCAAGUUUUCUGCCAUACUGCUUCCAAGUGGGCGCAAUACAAGAUAGAUGGGUCUCUUGUUCAUAACUGGAAGGUUAACCUGUCCGGAUAUGCUGUCCUGAGUGAUAAUUCAUUCAUAGUUUCUGAUACUGAAACGAGGUCAUGCCUUUUGUUGGACGUGCGUACCAAAAGAUGGUGUGUUGUCAUGCCUGCAUAUCGAUUUUGUCGAGAUCGUUUGUUCAACACCGCGGUUGAAGCGCCACUUAAUGGAAGAUCUGUCUUUGUUGAGGGCUUUAUUUACACAUGUUCAACUGGGGGACUUGCUGCGUAUGACCUUUUUGAGAAAGGUGAUUCUAUGUACCUUGAUGAUCCGAUCUUUUUGCCAUUCACAUGGCCCAAGUCUUGGGAGAGUGAUAUGAUGUGCUUGGACUAUGUUGCCAAAGACAGAAUCUCUGGUGCGAUUAUAUUUUGUGUGGUGCAAGGUGACUAUCCUGAGUAUUACCCUGUGCUAGGCGAAAAUUUGGACUGUUCCAGCGGGUGGCUUCCCUCCUGUUCUCGUCGUCAUCGUGUACACAUCACCACUGUCCAGGUCAAGACUGAAACAACCAAUGGGAAAAUGAAACCGGUGAGAAUUGACCAUGUGGAUGUUGGCACAUGUUUCAUUGACGAGAAUAAGGGAUUAGUCUCCACUAGAUGCUGUUUUGCUGUUGGCACGUGAUUUUUCAUCCGCUGUUUUACCACCUUUUCUAUUUCGCUGUUCUGUAAUAUAUUUAUUAUCACUCAGGACAUCUCGUGUAAUGUUGACCAUCGAUGUUUCCUGGAAGACAGAUUGAAAUUCUCGUGUUAAGUGGGUCUUGUUGAUUUUAUUUUUCUUACCUGGGUGCUACUUCAAUACAACGUGUUAGUAAAGAUUCUGGGAGAACAGUUUAACGGUAAAACAGAUUGGGUUUUUUAGGU
rnacentral:rRNA from 1 species